AUGCCACGUGUGUAGCCCUAUAAAGCAAAAAAAUCAAUCAAUCAAAUAAUAAAUAAAUAAAGCCAUUAUAUUUGGGUUAAAAAAAAUUUUAAAUCCCUCUCCCCAAUGGGGUGAGAAGUUGAUCUGUGAAUUUAGCUCCCACUUCUCCAGUCUUUAACCACUGGAUUCAGCCUGUGCUACAACCAUCGCAGCUUCAGUUUCAUCAUUGGUUGCUUGAACCCCAACAGAAAAGGAACCCUCUCCCACUGAGGCCAAGAGCCUGGCCAGGCUAGGACUGAAGUACGUCCACACACCUGUAAGUCAGGGACACAGCUUUCACCUUCUUUGUCCUCAGUUUUAUGGACACCUUCCCAGGUAUCCUAUAACUCUACUGUGUGGCUGUCACUGUCCUGACAGCUUGGGGAGGUAGGUUUGCGUGCUGGCCAUUUCCCUCUCCAGGGCCUCACCUGGUAACCACCCUUGGUAGGGGUCUGACAAGGGAACCAGGGGAUAGGUGACAUUUUCUAAGCCCGCUAGCGCUGUCUCGCCCUAUCGGAUGCUACCAACCGAAAAGCUCUCCAUCCCUCUGGCUGUGGCCCUGCCCCUCUGUUCUGUCACUUUAAAGGCUCAGACUUUGAGGCACAAACAAUAGACAAGUAAGGAGAGGUUCAAGGGUAGGGCUGUGGAGCCACUCAAGUUCCCCCUCAGCGUCCUUCUCACUUCCCCGCUCUGGUCUCAGUUCCACUUGGAGAGACAGGAGGAUGGGAAAGGCAGCCAGACUUCACAGGUCAGAAACACAGGGGGCUUUCCAGUCUGCCAAGGCCAGUGGUCUCCCUCUGCAGGAGGCCAUCAGCCUUCAGGACGUUCCUCCCUGCCCCUGUCAGACCCUCUGCCCAGCGGGCUCGUGGUGGGGAAGUAAGCUCCCCCGAGCUGCCUCCAGCCUCUGCGGAGGUAACAGUCCUGCGAGCCGAAGGGCUGCCUGAGGGGGACUCGGUGUCUGAGAUGAGCGCAGUGGUCCAGAAGCUUCCUGGCUCCUGGGGUGUCCUCGCCACAGCCCCCGUAAGGGAGCCACGAUGACAGGCUACUGGGGCAGAGGAAGGACCAGAACUACCUUAUUCCACCAGCAUCCCCCUGCUGAGCUGAGAAACUCCUGCCCCCCAGUCUCCACUUGGGGGAGGAUGCUCAGUGUUGGCUUAUCUGGAAUUGAGGGCACAGGGUGUGCCCUGCUCAGGAAAACAGGUGAGAGAACCAGGAAGGCAGACAUUUCACGCUGCUGCAACCCAUUGACCUACUCCUUAGAAAUGCCCCUUCCCUGCCAUCGAGAGAUGGGGCGUUCCCUCUUUGAGCUCAUGGAUAUUUUUUUCUGUUCUAUAAUAGCAAGAAGUUUUAAUGAUGUGAAACUGCCCAUAAGCCAUUUUUCCCAGAUCCCGUGGUCAUGCUGAUAACAUUUGUGGGUUUGCAACAAAUAACCAGAAAGAAGCAGAAGCAGUUCCACAAACACAACUCGCGGAACAUCGACUCUCCUUCUCUGGGAAAGAAAUCCAGCAGAAUGUAAGGACUGGCUUUCUGAACUCUCCAGAAGGAAAAUCUACAUGCUUGGCAUUUGGAAAGUUCUAGAAAUGGAGAAGAAACAGCCCCGAACACUGGAAGAUGGAUGGGUGCUCUAGAAAUGGACAGCUGUGAUAUACUUGAAGAGGUUUUGCUGGAAAAAACUGCCUUGAUUUGUCACUGCAAGGGGGUGAAAUUUCUUUCAUGGAAGCCUGCCCCAUAUCCUUGUUAUAGGAGAUAGUCAAGACCAAACACUGGCUGUGGGUAACUCAGCUGGCAUCCCUUCAAAAUGGCAUUCUUUAAAUAUUUUUUCAACAUUUUCUAAGUGGGGGCAGAGAGAAGAGAUUGUCUAUGAAUAAAACUGUAUAUCUCUUCCUUUAUGUUCAGAAGAAAGGAUGUAUUAUAUACCUGUGAAAAA